rnacentral:snoRNA from 1 species
UUGUCAGUGAGGUUAAUCCUUACCUGUUCCUUCUCCGGGAGAAACAGCACAUGAUGAAUGGAGGAGACUGAGUCGCUGAUUACUCUGUACUCCGGUCCUGUCUGGUGUGACAUUCCAGUCUGGGUCAUUCUGAUUC